rnacentral:rRNA from 1 species
CCUACGGGGUGCAGCAGUGGGGAAUAUUGGACAAUGGGCGAAAGCCUGAUCCAGCCAUGCCGCGUGUGUGAAGAAGGCCUUCGGGUUGUAAAGCACUUUCAGUGGGGAAGAAAGCCUUGGGGCUAAUACCCUCGAGGAAGGACAUCACCCACAGAAGAAGCACCGGCUAACUCCGUGCCAGCAGCCGCGGUAAUACGGAGGGUGCGAGCGUUAAUCGGAAUUACUGGGCGUAAAGCGCGCGUAGGCGGUCUGAUAAGCCGGUUGUGAAAGCCCCGGGCUCAACCUGGGAACGGCAUCCGGAGCUGUCAGGCUAGAGUGCAGGAGAGGAAGGUAGAAUUCCCGGUGUAGCGGUGAAAUGCGUAGAGAUCGGGAGGAAUACCAGUGGUGAAGGCGGCCUUCUGGACUGACACUGACGCUGAGGUGCGAAAGCGUGGGUAGCAAACAGGAUUAGAUACCCUAGUAGUC